rnacentral:rRNA from 1 species
AUUGAACGCUGGCGGAAUGCUUUACACAUGCAAGUCGAACGAUGAACCUUAGCUUGCUAAGGGGAUUAGUGGCGAACGGGUGAGUAAUGUAUCGGAACGUAUCCAAUAAUGGGGGAUAACUAGUCGAAAGAUUAGCUAAUACCGCAUACGUCCUACGGGAGAAAGCUAGGGACCUUCGGGCCUGGCGUUAAUGGAGCGGCCGAUAUCUGAUUAGCUAGUUGGUGGGGUAAAGGCUCACCAAGGCGACGAUCAGUAGCUGGUCUGAGAGGACGACCAGCCACACUGGAACUGAGACACGGUCCAGACUCCUACGGGAGGCAGCAGUGGGGAAUUUUGGACAAUGGGCGAAAGCCUGAUCCAGCCAUUCCGCGUGAGUGAGGAAGGCCUUCGGGUUGUAAAGCUCUUUCGCAAGGGAAGAAAACUUAAGCUCUAACAUAGCUUGAGGUUGACGGUACCUUGAUAAGAAGCACCGGCUAACUACGUGCCAGCAGCAGCCGCAG